rnacentral:rRNA from 1 species
AUUGAACGCUGGCGGCAUGCUUUACACAUGCAAGUCGAACGGUAACAGGCCGCAAGGUGCUGACGAGUGGCGAACGGGUGAGUAAUGCAUCGGAACGUGCCCAGGCGUGGGGGAUAACUACUCGAAAGAGUAGCUAAUACCGCAUACGAUCUAUGGAUGAAAGCGGGGGACCGUAAGGCCUCGCGCGAUUGGAGCGGCCGAUGUCAGAUUAGGUAGUUGGUGGGGUAAAGGCUCACCAAGCCAACGAUCUGUAGCUGGUCUGAGAGGACGACCAGCCACACUGGGACUGAGACACGGCCCAGACUCCUACGGGAGGCAGCAGUGGGGAAUGUUGGACAAUGGGCGCAAGCCUGAUCCAGCAAUGCCGCGUGCAGGAAGAAGGCCUUCGGGUUGUAAACUGCUUUUGUACGGAACGAAACGGCUCUGGUUAAUACCCGGGGCUAAUGACGGUACCGUAAGAAUAAGCACCGGCUAACUACGUG